ACUCCAUGGUGAGGACAAGAUCUAGUGUAAUCCUUCAAUCUUUCCCCAGCUUCAUAGAGAGCUUUGUUGGGGCCUUCUCUGAAACUCGUGAUAUCAUUCUUUAUCCU
rfam:Arabis alpina cultivar Pajares Aa.chr6_contig_5812, whole genome shotgun sequence.